rnacentral:rRNA from 1 species
CUCAGUUCGGAUUGAAGUCUGCAACUCGACUUCAUGAAGCUGGAAUCGCUAGUAACCGUGGAUCAGCUACGCCACGGUGAAUACGUUCCUGGGUCUUGUACUCACCGCCCGUCAACUCAUGAAAGGCAGGGGCGCCUGAAGCACCUUUACCCGCAAGGGGGGGUACCACGGCGACACUGCUGAUUGGGAGUAAGUCGUAACAAGGUAUCCGUAGGAGAACCUGCGGAUGGAACACUUCCUUACC